rnacentral:rRNA from 1 species
CCCUUAGAUGUUCUGGGCCGCACGCGCGCUACACUGAUUCAUGCAACGAGUUUUGUCCUUGGCUGAAAGGCCUGGGUAAUCUUUGAACGUGAAUCGUGCUGGGGAUAGAUGAUUGCAAUUAUUCAUCUUCAACGAGGAAUUCCUAGUAAACGCAAGUCAUCAGCUUGCAUUGAUUACGUCCCUGCCCUUUGUACACACCGCCCGUCGCACCUACCGAUUGAAUGGUCCGGUGAAUAAUUCGGACUGCAGCAGGCCUGGUCUCCGGGUUUUGCAGCGGAAAGUUUAGUGAACCUUAUCACUUAGAGGAAGGAGAAGUCGUAACA